GACGAACGCUGGCGGCGUGCUUAACACAUGCAAGUCGAACGGAAAGGCCCUGCUUUUGUGGGGUGCUCGAGUGGCGAACGGGUGAGUAACACGUGAGUAACCUGCCCUUGACUUUGGGAUAACUUCAUGAAACUGGGGCUAAUACCGGAUAGGAGCUCCUGCUGCAUGGUGGGGGUUGGAAAGUUUCGGCGGUUGGGGAUGGACUCGCGGCUUAUCAGCUUGUUGGUGGGGUAGUGUCUUACCAAGGCUUUGACGGGUAGCCGGCCUGGGAGGGUGACCGGACAAGCUAGGACUGAGAUGAGACACAGACUAGUACGGGACGCAGCAGUGGGGAAUAGUGCACAAUGGGAGGAAGCCUGAUGCAGCAAAGCCGUGUGCGGGAUGACGGCCUUCGGGUUGUAAACCGAUGUCGCCUGUGACGAGGCGUGAGUGACGGUAAUGGGUAAAGAAGCACCGGCUAACUACGUG
rnacentral:rRNA from 1 species